rnacentral:rRNA from 1 species
CGCGUAGGCGGUUAGGUCAGUCGGAUGUGAAAGCCCCGGGCUCAACCUGGGAAUUGCAUUCGAUACUGCCUGGCUAGAGUCUGGUAGAGGGAAGCGGAAUUCCGGGUGUAGCGGUGAAAUGCGUAGAUAUCCGGAGGAACACCAGUGGCGAAGGCGGCUUCCUGGACCAAGACUGACGCUGAGGUGCGAAAGCGUGGGGAGCAAACA